GGGUGUGUCAUUGAUCUUCCAUGUUUUUGGGGGGGGGGGGGGUGUACAAAUGUUAAUUAUUCACAAAUAUGCUCUGCUUGUGGGAUUUUUUCCUUCAAUUUAGUCGUGUGUGUUUUGGACACAUUUCUAUGAAUUGAUAUAUUGUGAAAUGUGACUUGUGUUUUAUACACAUUAUAGUUUGUUAAUAUUAGGGACAAUUAAAGCAAUGUCUGUCUCAACAAGGGGACCAGUUUAUUCACAGUGAGCCCUUUCCAAUGCAUGCUUAUUGUAAUCAUAUAAUACUUGCCUAACCAAAUAGCUGCAGCAAAAUCAUCAGCGGCAAUCUCUCCACAGAUCCCCAUCAACAAAAGAUGUUGAGCAUACCACAUUAGUAAAACAUACUUUUACUUCCACUGCUCCGUAUCAAAUACCGGUAUAUCAGGUGAGUGACAUCGGAUGUUGUGGUCCCCUAACAUUCCUUAUGAAUAUACUCUGGGCUGUGA